GCGCGCCGCAGAGCAAGGCCCGGGAGGAGCUGCACGGGAAAGGGUUCUGUAACUGGGUGCUGCCCGGAGAGGAGCGGCGAUCUCGCCUGCAAAUAGCGCGUGUUCCACUGCUUCUCCCAGGACUGCAGGCUGGUCUGUGCGCUCUCUGGGCUGCCCGGUGUCUGUUGACUCAGGGGUCCGAUCACGCAAAUGGCCGUUAACCGUUCAACGGUUGGACGUUUUAACAGAAAGAUCCAUUCAGUCUGGCGUUGUGCCCCUACAGGUAUCACGGGCGGCUCCAUCGCUGGCUGGCAGGCGGCACUCCAGAUUGCUGGGGCUUGCUCAUACUUCUCAGGGUGUGGCUACACACAGCUGGAGCAUGUGUAACUUCCCGCUCCCGGGGACAUGCUGCGCACUAGCACUGUGGAGCUGUUGUAGUAGCCAUUCUGAAGAUUGACCUGCAGUUUCCAACAGGAUUGAACUUGAGGAACCCGCUCCUUGUGUUACCAUGGCUGCACCACCAUGUUUCCACCUCUCAGGUUCGUACAGACAUAAGCCUGAGCCCAGUGCUGAGCAUUGGCUGACAACUUCCUUCCCCAUUGGGAGCCCCCCCAGCUGUUGUGACUGGCAAACCACCCUGCCCAGAUAGCAAGGGGCAGGGAGGGGGAGGGAGCAUCCCUUGUCAAUGGACACUUCCUGGAAGUUUCAUCACAUGACCUCUCUUCUUCAAUUUGAGACAUCGUUACAGCCUUGGAGGGUUGGCAAUCCUGCCCUACUCCUGUUUCUCAUGCCCAAGCACAGCAUGCCCUCUGCUGGUCAGUGUGGAGAUGGCCAGUGCCCUGUCUACCUAGAGCCCACCCAUAGAUGUGGCUGAGAUAUGCAGGGAGAGCACAAUGUGAACUCCCUCCCCAUUAUGCAUCCAACUCUCAGUGCUUGUCUACGCUACCCACCAGAUCAACUGGCAAUGACUGAACCAUUGGGAACUGUUAAUCACAUCUAGUGUAAAUGCAAUAAAUUAACCACCAAGUGCUCUCCCAUCAACUCCAGUAUUCCACAAGAAUAAGAACCACAGCUGAAGUCAACGCUUCUGCAGCCAACUUACCACAGUGAAGACACUGUAGUCUGGGGAGGGCAAGACAGCCUCCGCAGGCCAGAUGUGGCUCACCAAGCUGGUUGAUCUGGCUCACAGUUCACUGAUGAUUGAUCAAGAUAACUUCCAUGAAGAUUAAGUUACAUUUUGAGAUUCAUUCUGACAAUAAAAGUAGUCCUCUUCA